UUUGGUCUCAUUGAUAUUUUUACUUCAUGACAAAAUGGUUAAGUUUUGUCAUUAUAGUCAGUUCAACAAUCAAGGUCACAUUUCUUUUCCCCCCCCAGAGAGGAGAAAAAUACAUGUUUGUUGUAUGUGUUUGUGUAUGUAUGAAUAGUAUUCUUUUUAUAAAAACCAAUGAAUGGAUAUCCACGGAAUUAUAAAAAGAACACAAAUCAUAUAUACUUGAAAAGGACGGUUCACGGAUCGUGCAAAAAUAAUGAGAGUUGGGAGAACUCUCACAACUCUCAUUAUUUUUAACAUUGUUUUUGGGGGUGUGGUAAUGAUCCUUCCGCAGGUUCACCUACGGAAA
rnacentral:misc_RNA from 1 species